AAAGGACCAAUUUAUUUCUCCUCCCAGAAGCUUCUCACCACACUUCCUGGUAGUGAGGACCGUUGCCCCUUCAGGGAGGACCCAGAACAGCUGAUCCCCAUGGAGAUGAGGAAUCAAGAGCUGAGCUUCCAUCCCUAAGGGAAGCUUCUCGCUGUGGCUGGGGAAGUUCUAAAGGACACUUGGCUCCUGCAAUCCAUCAACGGUCCAGCAUCACUUUACUGAAGAGUCCCAGCUGAUAAUACAAGUGAAAGAG